rnacentral:rRNA from 1 species
UACGGAGGGUGCAAGCGUUGUUCGGAAUUAUUGGGCGUAAAGGGUGCGUAGGCGGUGCGGUAAGUCUCUUGUGAAAUCUCCAGGCUCAACCUGGAGCCUGCAAGGGAAACUGCCGUGCUUGAGUGUGGGAGAGGUGAGUGGAAUUCCCGGUGUAGCGGUGAAAUGCGUAGAUAUCAGGAGGAACACCUGUGGUGUAGACGGCUUUCUGGACCAUAGCUGACGCUGAGACACGAAAGCGUGGGUAGCAAACAGG